AGUGAACGCUGGCGGUAGGCCUAACACAUGCAAGUCGAACGGCAGCACAGGAGAGCUUGCUCUCUGGGUGGCGAGUGGCGGACGGGUGAGGAAUACAUCGGAAUCUACUCUGUCGUGGGGGAUAACGUAGGGAAACUUACGCUAAUACCGCAUACGACCUACGGGUGAAAGCAGGGGAUCUUCGGACCUUGCGCGAUUGAAUGAGCCGAUGUCGGAUUAGCUAGUUGGCGGGGUAAAGGCCCACCAAGGCGACGAUCCGUAGCUGGGCUGAGAGGAGGAUCAGCCACACUGUAACUGAGACACGGUCCAGGCUCCUACGGGAGGCAGCAGUGGGGAAUAUUGGACAAUGGGCGCAAGCCUGAUCCAGCCAUACCGCGUGGGUGAAGAAGGCCUUCGGGUUGUAAAGCCCUUUUGUUGGGAAAGAAAUCCAGCUGGCUAAUACCCGGUUGGGAUGACGGUACCCAAAGAAUAAGCACCGGCUAACUUCGUGCCAGCCGCCGCUGUAA
rnacentral:rRNA from 1 species